rnacentral:tRNA from 1 species
CUGAAGUAGCUUAAAGUUAAAGCAUUGAUUUUGUAAUUCAAAGAAUAGAAAAAAAUUUCUCUUCCGAUU